AGAGUUUGAUCCUGGCUCAGGACGAACGCUGACGGUGUGCUUUAGACAUGCAAGUCGAACGAGAAAGCCCUUCGGGGUGAGUACAGUGGCGAACGGGUGAGUAACACGUGGGUAACCUGCCCCUCGCAGGGGGACAACCGGGGGAAACCCCGGCUAAUACCCCGUACGCUUGCCGGGUCGCAUGGCAUCGGCAAGGAAAGGUAGCUUCGGCCAUCCGGCGAGGGAUGGGCCCGCGGUCCAUUAGCUAGUUGGUGGGGUAACGGCUCACCAAGGCGACGAUGGAUAGCUGGUCUGAGAGGAUGAUCAGCCACACUGGGACUGAGACACGGCCCAGACUCCUACGGGAGGCAGCAGUCGGGAAUCUUGCGCAAUGGGCGAAAGCCUGACGCAGCAACACCGUGUGGGCGACGAAGGCCUUCGGGUCGUAAAGCCCUGUUGUUGGGGACGAAGGGCGAAGGGUUAAUAGCCCCUAGCUUGACGGUACCCUUCGAGGAAGCCCCGGCUAACUACGUGCCAGCAGCCGCGGUAAUACGUAGGGGGCGAGCGUUGUCCGGAAUUAUUGGGCGUAAAGAGCGUGUAGGCGGUUUGGUAAGUCUGCCGUGAAAACCCGGGGCUCAACCCCGGUCGUGCGGUGGAUACUGCCAGGCUAGAGGAUGGUAGAGGCGAGUGGAAUUCCCGGUGUAGCGGUGAAAUGCGCAGAUAUCGGGAGGAACACCAGUAGCGAAGGCGGCCCCCUGGUUGGAUACUGACGCUGAGACGCGAAAGCGUGGGGAGCAAACAGGAUUAGAUACCCCGGUAGUCC
rnacentral:rRNA from 1 species